rnacentral:sRNA from 1 species
UGUUUGCACUUAGCGGGAAGGGUAAGAACCUUCGACUAAGGUUCGACUCGAGCGCCAGCGAGAGAACGUUGCCGCAGGCAACGGCCCGAAGGGCGAGGCGAUAUAGCGCCGAGUUAUCCUUCCCCCACCACCA